rnacentral:rRNA from 1 species
UACGUAGGGGGCUAGCGUUGUCCGGAAUCAUUGGGCGUAAAGCGCGCGUAGGCGGCCCGGUAAGUCCGCUGUAAAAGUCAAAGGCUCAACCUUUGAAUGUCAGUGGAUACUGCCGGGCUAGAGUCCGGAAGAGGCGAGUGGAACUCCUGGUGUAGCGGUGAAAUGCGCAGAUAUCAGGAGGAACACCGGUGGCGAAGGCGGGUCUCUGGGCCGAAAUUGACGCUGAGGAGCGAAAGCGUGGGGAGCAAACAGG